CUGGCAGUCAGAGGCGAUGAAGGGCGUGCUAAUCUGCGAUAAGCGCCGGUAAGGUGAUAUGAACCGUUAUAACCGGCGAUACCCGAAUGGGGAAACCCAGUGUGAUUCGUCACACUAUCAUUAACUGAAUCCAUAGGUUAAUGAGGCGAACCGGGGGAACUGAAACAUCUAAGUACCCCGAGGAAAAGAAAUCAACCGAGAUUCCCCCAGUAGCGGCGAGCGAACGGGGAGGAGCCCAGAGCCUGAAUCAGCAUGUGUGUUAGUGGAAGCGUCUGGAAAGGCGCGCGAUACAGGGUGACAGCCCCGUACACAAAAGCGCAUGUGCUGUGAGCUCGAUGAGUAGGGCGGGACACGUGGUAUCCUGUCUGAAUAUGGGGGGACCAUCCUCCAAGGCUAAAUACUCCUGACUGACCGAUAGUGAACCAGUACCGUGAGGGAAAGGCGAAAAGAACCCCGGCGAGGGGAGUGAAAAAGAACCUGAAACCGU
rnacentral:rRNA from 1 species